CGGGACGAUAGAAAGACGAAAAUCCACCGCCAGGGAUCUCCAGCCAACCGUCGAACCAGCUGCAGCAGAGUCUUAUGACACGUUAAUAAUAUCUCACGCAGUUAUGGCACAGAAGUGAAAGGAAUAUAAAAACAGAGGGGCUGCCAAAGUCAAACUUAGAGAAAGAGGAAGAAACCAAGCUAAAAUAGGCAUUUGGUUUGCAGAAUACAAAAAAAGGUCAGUAAUUAUAUAUAUUAUUUUCAUUAUAAAAAUAUUUACUAUGUUUUUGAUUUAUACAGGGUUUUUCCAGGUUUUGCAAAGGUAAGACUUGAUAUUUUUUAAGACUCUUUAAGACCAAGUAAAGACAACACAUCGAUAUGAUCUCUAAAUGUAAGUGUCCUGUAUUAGCAAUGCUUCAAAGUUUGUAAAUACAACUUCCAAUGUGAUCAAAAAAAAAAAAAAUGUUGCGCUGUAUUUUUGUUUUCUAGUGCAAAUGUCUAAAGAGUCAUAAAUCAAGAUACAUUCACAAGUCUUGUUUUAUGAGAAAUUGAUCAAAAAGUGAGUUUAUAAUUACAACAAGAACAAAUAUCUGCCAGUGGGCUUUAGAUAAAUCAACUCAAUUCAAAGGGAAAAAAAGUUUUCAUACCCCAUUGAUAGAUGUUUCUUCUUGUUUUAAGCAUAAGCUCACAUAAUUGUUUUCAGUUUCUCCAAACCAAGACAUCAGAUGUUCAAUUUGCAUCUGAAGUAAAUGUAUCUUGAUUUAAGGACGCUAAUAUAUCUGUACAGGAAAAAAAUAAAAAUAAAAAAUCCAACAACACAAACACUGUUUUGCAUGCAAAAAUGUAGUGCACUGACUUUAUGAGUUUAGGCCUUAAAUUAAGACUCAAGACCAUUUUGAAAUGUGCAGAAACCCUGUUAUUGAACAUUACUGUUUUCAUGGAGCUUUUACUAAACAUCAUGACUUGACAGAUUAUUCUCCAGCAGGGGGCCGAAAACAUCCCCAUGCUGUUGUAAAGCUGUCCUUCUGUGAUAGCAUGGGAAAAAGGCAUGUGCAACCUGUAGUAGAAUUUGAGGAAAGUUUGAGAUGACAAGCCAUCAACCCUUAAAAACACGCAUAUACAAAACAAAUUAUUCUAAAAGAAUAAAGACUUUUAUUAAGCAUU